rnacentral:ncRNA from 15 species
GCCUGAAGAAAGAGAAUUGGCAAGAGACUGCCAAAUAAAGGAAGCCGGUUAAAAUCCGGCGCUGCCCCGCAGCUGUAAGCGGAACGAAAUCCACAUUUUGUCACUGAUGCCCUGCAUCGGGAAGGCGUGGAAAUUAGGUCGCCGCAAGUCAGAAAACUUUAUGGUGAGUCCAACU